UACGUAGGGGGCAAGCGUUGUCCGGAAUUAUUGGGCGUAAAGAGCGUGUAGGCGGCCCGAUAAGUCCGCUGCGAAAGUCCAGGGCUCAACCCUGGAAUGCCGGUGGAUACUGUCGGGCUCGAGUUCGGAAGAGGUGAGUGGAAUUCCUGGUGUAGCGGUGAAAUGCGUAGAUAUCCGGAGGAACACCAGUGGCGAAAGCGGCCACCUGGACUGCACCUGACGCUGACACGCGAAAGCUAGGGGAGCGAACGGG
rnacentral:rRNA from 1 species